rnacentral:rRNA from 2 species
UCCUGACUGACCGAUAGUGAACCAGUACCGUGAGGGAAAGGCGAAAAGAACCCCGGCGAGGGGAGUGAAAAAGAACCUGAAACCGUGUACGUACAAGCAGUGGGAGCACGCUUAGGCGUGUGACUGCGUACCUUUUGUAUAAUGGGUCAGCGACUUAUAUUCUGUAGCAAGGUUAACCGAAUAGGGGAGCCGAAGGGAAACCGAGUCUUAACUGGGCGUUAAGUUGCAGGGUAUAGACCCGAAACCCGGUGAUCUAGCCAUGGGCAGGUUGAAGGUUGGGUAACACUAACUGGAGGACCGAACCGACUAAUGUUGAAAAAUUAGCGGAUGACUUGUGGCUGGGGGUGAAAGGCCAAUCAAACCGGGAGAUAGCUGGUUCUCCCCGAAAGCUAUUUAGG